rnacentral:piRNA from 1 species
UCCCUGCUGUCGCCAUCCCUGAGGCC